GAUGAACGCUGGCGGCGUGCCUAAUACAUGCAAGUCGAGCGAAUUGACAGAGGUGCUUGCACCUCUCGAUUUUAGCGGCGGGCGGGUGAGUAACACGUGGGUAACCUACCUAUAAGACUGGGAUAACUUCGGGAAACCGGAGCUAUACCGGAUAAUAUUUAGCUUCGCAUGAAGCAAUAGUGAAAGACGGUUCUGCUGUCACUUAUAGAUGGACCUGCGGUGUAUUAGCUAGUUGGUGAGGUAACGGCUCACCAAGGCAACGAUACAUAGCCGACCUGAGAGGGUGAUCGGCCACACUGGGACUGAGACACGGCCCAGACUCCUACGGGAGGCAGCAGUAGGGAAUCUUCCGCAAUGGACGAAAGUCUGACGGAGCAACGCCGCGUGAGUGAAGAAGGUUUUCGGAUCGUAAAACUCUGUUGUAAGGGAAGAACAAGUACGUUAGUAACUGAACGUACCUUGACGGUACCUUACCAGAAAGCCACGGCUAACUACGUGCCAGCCGCCGCCGUAACAC
rnacentral:rRNA from 1 species